rnacentral:rRNA from 1 species
UGGGGAAUAUUGGACAAUGGGCGAAAGCCUGAUCCAGCCAUGCCGCGUGUGUGAAGAAGGUCUUCGGAUUGUAAAGCACUUUAAGUUGGGAGGAAGGGCAUUAACCUAAUACGUUAGUGUUUUGACGUUACCGACAGAAUAAGCACCGGCUAACUCUGUGCCAGCAGCCGCGGUAAUACAGAGGGUGCAAGCGUUAAUCGGAAUUACUGGGCGUAAAGCGCACGUAGGUGGUUUGUUAAGUUGGAUGUGAAAGCCCCGGGCUCAACCUGGGAACUGCAUCCAAAACUGGCAAGCUAGAGUACGGUAGAGGGUGGUGGAAUUUCCUGUGUAGCGGUGAAAUGCGUAGAUAUAGGAAGGAACACCAGUGGCGAAGGCGACCACCUGGACUGAUACUGACACUGAGGUGCGAAAGCGUGGGGAGCAAACA